rfam:Cephalotus follicularis DNA, scaffold: scaffold290, isolate: St1.
ACAGCAUGAUGGGGACAUUUUCUGAUGAGAUCCUUUAAUCGUUCCUGUGAUUCAUGGAACUGCUCACCAUCAUGUUGUGAGAAGCUAGUGAGAGCUCGUCUUAUCU